CGGGGCGUAGCUCAGCCUGGUGGAGCGCCGCGUUUGGGACGCGGAGGUCGCCGGUUCAAGUCCGGCCGCCCCGA
rnacentral:tRNA from 1 species